rnacentral:rRNA from 1 species
GAAGUUGACGGGGCCCGCACAAGCGGUGGAGUAUGUGGUUAAUUCGAUGCAACGCGAAGAACCUUACCUGGUCUUGACAUCCCGGAGACCCUUAGGAAACUAGGGGGUGCUUCCAUCUGGAAGAAUCUGGAGACAGGUGCUGCAUGGCUGUCGUCAGCUCGUGUCGUGAGAUGUUGGGUUAAGUCCCGCAACGAGCGCAACCCUUGCCUUUAGUUGCCAGCAGUUCGGCUGGGCACUCUAAAGGGACUGCCGGUGUUAAACCGGAGGAAGGUGGGGAUGACGUCAAGUCCUCAUGGCCUUUAUGACCAGGGCUACACACGUACUACAAUGGCCGAUACAAAGGGCAGCGACACUGCGAGGUGAAGCCAAUCCCGUAAAAUCGGUCUCAGUCCGGAUUGGAGUCUGCAACUCGACUCCAUGAAGUUGGAAUCGCUAGUAAUCGUGAAUCAGAAUGUCACGGUGAAUACGUUCCCGGGCCUU